rnacentral:rRNA from 1 species
UACGGGGGGGGCAAGCGUUGUUCGGAAUUACUGGGCGUAAAGGGCUCGUAGGUGGCCAACUAAGUCAGACGUGAAAUCCCCUCGGCUUAACCGGGGAACUGCGUCUGAUACUGGAUGGCUGGAGUUUGGGAGAGGGAUGCGGAAUUCCAGGUGUAGCGGUGAAAUGCGUAGAUAUCUGGAGGAAUACCGGUGGCGAAGGCGGCAUCCUGGACCAUUACUGACGCUGAGGCGCGAAAGCUAGGGGAGCAAACGGGG